GCGGGGACUCGUUUUCCUCUGUCAGGGCCUGGCAGCCAGCGAGGAGCUGAACAAGUAUGCCUGCCACCCCGGCGUGACCUGGAGUUCACAUGGACGAAGCUACACUCAGUCGCAGGAACCCUCGGGCCUUUGAAGUCGCUGAGUCGUCCUGACGGCAGAUCCCUUCCGUGGAGGACUGAUGCUCUGCCAGAAGAGUAAAACGCCGUCGUUUUUAGACUGCCCUUUGGGAUAAAAGAGACAGUCGUGCAGUGCAGCCCCAGUGCCAGGCUCACGUCUGACAGAGCCGCCAUUGUUCGUGUCGCCCCUCAGUGAGCUCUGCUCAGUUAGCGAGGCCCCAGGCCGCUUCAGGGCUCCGGUACAGGUUUCUUGCAAGGAUCAGGUACACAGCUGUGUGUGGAAAUGAAGGACAGUGGAAGAGGCCAUGUCUACACGAUAUCCAACAUCUGCUUCGAAACUGAGUUCAGUCAGCUCUCCAGAUGUUUCCUCAUGCCCAAAGUUUGCCAAAACCAUCUCUUGACUGAAUGUUGCAGUUUCCGUCUGAUUGUUCUGGAGAAGGUGGUCUGUUCUUCUGCCACGUGGGCUUUUAGAUGUGAAGAAGUGAUAUAAGCUAAAAGACGUAGGCAUCCCAGUCUCCCUACCCAAUGUUUACCUCCUGCUUUCUCCACCAUCGUCAUCGUGGGCGCGUGAAGGAAACGUGACGGCCCUGCGCUGAGGGGACUAAGUCUGUCUUUGUCCGCACAUGAGCUCAGCUUCUCCCAGUUGUGCUGACUCUGUGGGAUUCCCAGAAAGGAAAAGCCAGGAGCAAAGCACCAGGAAAAUGACCUCGGCCACUUGAGUCUGGCCUUCUUCCCAUAUACCCACCAUCUGCUCAUUGAAGAAUCUCAGUCCUUCUCCUCCUGCUCAUUAGAACUGACACUUCCCAGGCCAGAGGGAUGACUAGGAUGAAUCAGAGAGGCACAUGAAUGCCCAUACGUAUGGUCCUCAUUUUUCCUUCCUCAGAUAAAGCCUUCCUCUUUUAUUACGCAAGUUGACCUGCGCCCCAUCAAAGAAGGAAGGGGUUUUCAACAUAAAGAAUCCAGGUAACACAGAGUAGAGAUGCAUCGUGGUUGGAGCAAAAUGUAAUACUGAAGGUCACGGCAGCUAGAAAGCUGGAGACAUCAGGGCUAGGUGGAGAAGUAAUGAGGGUGAAUGGUGGGCAUCUCAGGAUGGAUGUGUGUAUUUGACAAGGAGGGCGUUGGAGAAAGAUGAUCUAAGAGCUAAAACAUAAAUGUGGGGGUUCGUUUUAAGGAAUUGGGGUUGAGAGUAAUAUGAACACAUUUCAAACCUUAGAUGAGUUCCCCUGGUUUAUUUAUAUUUGGCUUUUAUUAAAAUCUGUUAUUAUUGCUGUUUUUUUUUUUUUUUUUGCUUUUAUGUCUUUAGAAGCUGUCUCCACUGUUCUGAUACUGUUGUAUUAUGUUAUGUUCUUUCUUUCCUGUUUUUCUUCUCCUACAACCACUGUUGGGCAUCGUUUAUCCUCAAUAAUGCAAUUAGAGUAAUCUUCGGUUUUUCAAGUGAAGACUCUGAUGUAUGUAUAUAUUUGAGCUUUACUUUAUGCCAUGCUGUAGAUCACUGAUGGUAGUCAGUUGUGUUCGAAUUGAAAAGAUUAUCAAGCCUCAAAAAAUGGCGAUGAUGAGGGGAAUAGUUUUUAAAAAGUUGGGUGGCCUUAUAGGAGGCUGUUUUGAAAGUGUCAUGGUUAGAGAAGGAGAGGCAAAGAAUAACUUGCCAAUAUUAGGAAAGAUAAUUUGGAAGGAAUGGAUUCCAGAAACUGCUCAAAUAAAGGGAACAUUCUAACCGGCAGAAGGAGAGGAGGGUAAGAGGCAGGAAGGGAGGACAGAGAGAGAGAGAGUGCUGUGUUGUUAAAUGAGUUCGAACCUGAUGCUUAUUCUGUGGAGGCUGUUGCCCUGAGUUUGUCCAUACCUGGCACUCUUGGUGUUCUCUGAACCGGUCCAGCUUUGGUUUGGGGUGAAAGUCUUUCUUCUUCUUCUUUUUUUUUUUUUUUUGUCCCGACCAUCAGCUUUUUUUCCAUUUUGGUGAAUGAAGUCUAGGUCAGGUAUAGUAAGCAAUUAACGUGGCAUGAGGAAAAGUUAGAUAAAGGAGAAUAACAAUAACAAAAUUAUGAUAUGGAAAUCACUUCCUUUAGAUUGUAGAUAGACAUACAUAAAUAAUGCUGUCCAACUCUCCCAAAUUCCCAUCGCUGAGAAAUUCUGACCCAGCUCAAUUAACCUGCCGUUUAUGAAAACGCUUCCAUAUGCCCCCAGCAAUACAUGACGUUCACCUUCCUUUCACCACGAGAGCAUUUUCGGGCUUGUUUUAGUCCCACUGUGGGCACACUAUGCUUUAACUCCUUUUCGCUUGCAUAGAAGUCCCUAGUGCACAUUUUUGACUCAAAUAGCGAUUAAAACGCAUGGCAGACAUUGAAGUAAGGUUUCUAUUUGGACUGGAUUGGCAAGCCCUGCUCUGAGUCUGUAAUGGUCAUGUAGAUGUUUCUCUGUGAACACAUACAUGUAUUAACCUUUACAGGAGCACACACGUGUUUGAAGGCAGUAGUAGGAAGAGGAGUGGCAUUCGGGCUCUGGAACUACCUGCCUUGACCUUGAAUCUGAGUGUUACCACGAUCCAGCUGUGUGAUUUGGGGCAAAGCCUUUAACCUAUCCUGUUGAAGUUUUCUCUUGUGUGAUGGGGAUGCUACCAACAUCUGUCUGAUAAGACAGUUGUCAGAAGAAAAUGAUAGAAUACAUGUAAAGCAUUUAGAACAAUCCCUUUCA